rnacentral:rRNA from 1 species
UACGUAGGCAGCGAGCGUUGUUCGGAGUUACUGGGCGUAAAGGGCGUGUAGGCGGUUUUCUAAGUUUGGUGUGAAAUCUCCCGGCUCAACCGGGAGGGUGCGCCGAAAACUGGGAGACUAGAGUGCGGGAUGGGAGAGUAGAAUUCCUGGUGUAGCGGUGAAAUGCGUAGAUAUCAGGAGGAAUACCGGUGGUGUAGCCGGCUCUCUGGACCGCCACUGACGCUGAGACACGAAAGCGUGGGUAGCAAACAGG